ACAAUAAAGUAUACAUAUUUUUUGACAAAUGUAUUAUCUCUAUUUAGAUCAUGGGAUUAAUAAGAUGCAUUGUCCCCAGGAAAAUGUGUGCACUCAUGGAGAACCUCACUGACAUAGCUGCAGAGAGGUGCAGCGAGACUUCCAGCAAAUCAGCUGAGGAUUUACAAGGAGAAUUAGGCUAACAGAAAAAGAAGAAACAUCUCAUAUUGGAGUUAACAGGCAAGUAGUGUG
rnacentral:lncRNA from 1 species